rnacentral:tRNA from 1 species
GCCUUCUUGGCUCAGUUGGCAGAGCGUCUGCCUAGUAUUUAGCAGAAGGUCGUCAGUUCGAUUCUGGCAGAAGGC